GUGGGAGUGUAAAUUAGUUCAAUCACUGUGGAAGACGGUGUGGCGAUUAUUCAAAAACCUAAAUGCAGAAAUACCAUUUGACCCAGCAAUCCCAUUACUGGGCCAUUACCCCUUAUGAAAUAAAUAGGCUGAUAAAUAUGUUCACCCUAAAGCCUAAAUGACUAUUAGGUUCAAUAUUAUAGUUUUUACAGGAGUACCCUAUUUUAACAGGUGACCAAAAUCUCAUUUUCAAGGAAUGAAAUUAUGAAAUGGAGCCAGCUUUGCUCAUGGACAUCCAGGCUUACUAAACAUCCUUCCCUACAGCAUGGAACCAGGGAUCCUUGGAGAAAUGGCUGAGUCCAAGACAGGGUCAAUGAAAGUACAAAAUGA
rnacentral:lncRNA from 1 species